rnacentral:tRNA from 1 species
AGGGGAGUAGCUCAAUUGGCAGAGCACCGGUCUCCAAAACCGGGUGUUGCGGGUUCAAGUCCUGUCUCCCCUGCCA